UGGGGAAUAUUGCACAAUGGGCGCAAGCCUGAUGCAGCCAUGCCGCGUGUAUGAAGAAGGCCUUCGGGUUGUAAAGUACUUUCAGCGGGGAGGAAGGGAGUAAAGUUAAUACCUUUGCUCAUUGACGUUACCUGCAGAAGAAGCACCGGCUAACUCCGUGCCAGCAGCCGCGGUAAUACGGAGGGUGCAAGCGUUAAUCGGAAUUACUGGGCGUAAAGCGCACGCAGGCGGUUUGUUAAGUCAGAUGUGAAAUCCUCGGGCUCAACCUGGGAGGUGCAUCUGAUAUUGGCAAGUUUGAGUCUCGUAGAGGGAGGUAGAAUUCCAGUUGUAGCGGUGAAAUGCGUAGAGAUCUGGAGGAAUACCGGUGGCGAAGGCUGCCCCCUGGACGAAGUCUGACGCUCAGGUGCGAAAGCGUGGGGAGCAAACAGG
rnacentral:rRNA from 1 species